rnacentral:rRNA from 1 species
UAGUAUAUAUAUAACUCAUUUAAUACAAUUAUAAGUAUAAGAAAUCUAAUUUUAUCUAAAAUAUAGUAAUAGAAAUAUUAAAUAUUAAAAAGUAAAAAUAU